GUCUCCGUAGCCGAAUGGUUGGCGUUUGUUGUCUUAAGGAUUUCCGGCCGUGAAGUUGCGAGGCAGCGAAAGAUGCCGGUUCGAAUCCGGUCGGGGGCA